UUUAGCAGUAGGGAAUCUUCCACAAUGGACGAAAGUCUGAUGGAGCAACGCCGCGUGAGUGAAGAAGGGUUUCGGCUCGUAAAACUCUGUUGUUAAAGAAGAACAUAUCUGAGAGUAACUGUUCAGGUAUUGACGGUAUUUAACCAGAAAGCCACGGCUAACUACGUGCCAGCAGCCGCGGUAAUACGUAGGUGGCAAGCGUUGUCCGGAUUUAUUGGGCGUAAAGCGAGCGCAGGCGGUUUUUUAAGUCUGAUGUGAAAGCCUUCGGCUCAACCGAAGAAGUGCAUCGGAAACUGGGAAACUGAUCAGACAGAAACGG
rnacentral:rRNA from 1 species